rnacentral:rRNA from 1 species
AUUGAACGCUGGCGGCAGGCUUAACACAUGCAAGUCGAGCGGGGUGAUGGUGCUUGCACUAUCACCUAGCGGCGGACGGGUGAGUAAUGCUUAGGAAUCUGCCUAUUAGUGGGGGACAACAUUUCGAAAGGAAUGCUAAUACCGCAUACGUCCUACGGGAGAAAGCAGGGGAUCUUCGGACCUUGCGCUAAUAGAUGAGCCUAAGUCGGAUUAGCUAGUUGGUGGGGUAAAGGCCUACCAAGGCGACGAUCUGUAGCGGGUCUGAGAGGAUGAUCCGCCACACUGGGACUGGGACACGGCCCAGACUCCUACGGGAGCCAGCAGUGGGGAAUAUUGGACAAUGGGCGCAAGCCUGAUCUAGCCAUGCCGCGUGUGUGAAGAAGGCCUUAUGGUUGUAAAGCACUUUAAGCGAGGAGGAGGCUACUUUAGAUAAUACCUAGAGAUAGUGGACGUUACUCGCAGAAUAAGCACCGGCUAACUCUGUGCCAGCCGCCGCCGUAAAAC